rnacentral:tRNA from 1 species
CGGGGUGUAGCUCAGCUUGGUGGAGCACCUGCCUUGGGAGCAGGGGGUCGCAGGUUCGAAUCCUGUCGCUCCGACCA